UCAGAUUGAACGCUGGCGGUAUGCUUAACACAUGCAAGUCGAACGGUAACAGCAAAAGCUUGCUCUUGGCUGACGAGUGGCGGACGGGUGAGUAACGCGUAGGAAUCUACCAUAUAGUAGGGGCCAGAGAAAUUUGGAUUAAUACCGCAUACACUCUACGGAGAAAAGCAGGGGAUCUUAGGACCUUGCGCUAUUAGAUAAGCCUGCGUGGGAUUAGCUAGUUGGUGAGGUAAAGGCUCACCAAGUCGACGAUCUCUAGCUGGUCUGAGAGGAUGAUCAGCCACACUGGGACUGAGACACGGUCCAGACUCCUACGGGAGGCAGCAGUGGGGAAUAUUGGACAAUGGGCGCAAGCCUGAUCCAGCAAUACCGCGUGUGUGAAGAAGGCUCUAGGGUCGUAAAGCACUUUCAGUAGGGAGGAAAGGUGUACAGUUAAUACCUGUAUGCCGUGACGUUACCUACAGAAGAAGCACCGGCUAACUCCGUGCCAGCAGCCGCGGUAAUACGGAGGGUGCAAGCGUUAAUCGGAAUUACUGGGCGCGUAAAGCGCGUAGGCGGUUAGUUAAGCUAGAUGUGAAAGCCCCGGGCUCAACCUGGGAAUUGCAUUUAGAACUGGCUCACUAGAGUCUUGGAGAGGGGAGUGGAAUUUCUGGUGUAGCGGUGAAAUGCGUAGAUAUCAGAAGGAACAUCAGUGGCGAAGGCGACUCCCUGGCCAAAGACUGACGCUCAUGUGCGAAAGUGUGGGUAGCGAACAGGAUUAGAUACCCUGGUAGUCCACACCGUAAACGAUGUCUACUAGCUGUUUGUGGAUUUAAUCCGUGAGUAGCGCAGCUAACGCGAUAAGUAGACCGCCUGGGGAGUACGGCCGCAAGGUUAAAACUCAAAUGAAUUGACGGGGGCCCGCACAAGCGGUGGAGCAUGUGGUUUAAUUCGAUGCAACGCGAAGAACCUUACCUACCCUUGACAUACAGAGAACUUUCCAGAGAUGGAUUGGUGCCUUCGGGAACUCUGAUACAGGUGCUGCAUGGCUGUCGACAGCUCGUGUCGUGAGAUGUUGGGUUAAGUCCCGUAACGAGCGCAACCCUUAUCCUUAGUUGCUACCAUUUAGUUGGGCACUCUAAGGAGACUGCCGGUGAUAAACCGGAGGAAGGUGGGGACGACGUCAAGUCAUCAUGGCCCUUACGGGAUGGGCUACACACGUGCUACAAUGGCAGGUACAGAGGGCAGCAAAACCGCGAGGUUGAGCGAAUCCCACAAAGCUUGUCGUAGUCCGGAUCGGAGUCUGCAACUCGACUCCGUGAAGUCGGAAUCGCUAGUAAUCGUAGAUCAGAAUGCUACGGUGAAUACGUUCCCGGGCCUUGUACACACCGCCCGUCACACCAUGGGAGUGGGAUGCAAAAGAAGUGGCUAGUCUAACCUUCGGGAGGACGGUCACCACUUUGUGUUUCAUGACUGGGGUGAAGUCGUAACAAGGUAACCCUAGGGGAACCUGGGGU
rnacentral:rRNA from 1 species